AACGUAGGACGCAAGCGUUAUCCGGAGUUACUGGGCGUAAAGCGCGGGCAGGCGGCUCGAUGCGUCUGAUGUGAAAUCUCCUCGCUCAACGGGGAGAGGCCAUUGGAAACGGUCGAGCUGGAGGGCAGUAGAGGCAGGCGGAAUUCCGGGUGGAGUGGUGAAAUGCGUAGAGAUCCGGAGGAACACCAGAGGCGAAGGCGGCCUGCUGGGCUGCACCUGACGCUGAGCCGCGAAAGCCAGGGGAGCGAACGGG
rnacentral:rRNA from 2 species